GAAUCCUUAGUUACCUCAGUUAUCUUCAGCUGAGAGCUCUCACUGAGAGAGUAAGGAGAUAAGGUGGUACAAAUCUGAUGAAGAAGGCUGGUGUUUAUGUCAAACCAUGAAAGGGUAAACAAACAGAAUUGCCAAGGUUGGAAAAGACCUUCAAGAUCAUCCAGGCCAACCAUCCACCUAUCACCAAUAGUACUCACUAAACCAUGUCCCUCAACACAAAAUCCAACUGCUCCUUGAACAACUCCAGGGUUGGUAACUCCACCACCUCCCUGGGCAGCCCAUUCCAGUGCUUGACCACUCUUUCAGAAAAGUAGUAUUUGUAUUUAUAAACAAUAGUGUAUGAAGGGUGUAUCCAGGUUGGGUCUACGCUGAAAGAUCAGUUGGCUUUGCCUGAAUUCAGUUUUUGUUCAGUAUGACAAAAGGUGAUCUUGUAAUGCACCUUCCAUUAUCAUGUGGAGGUAUGUGAAUGCAAGCAUUUAACUAAUACUAGAUACACUAUUUUUUUCAAAUACUUGCAUAUCCUGCACCUGACUUUUUAAUAGUAAUAUAAAAUUUGAUAGCAAAUGUAACUGAUUUAUUAGUCACUAUAAAUAUUUUUU
rnacentral:lncRNA from 1 species